GCUCCUGUAGUUCAAUGGAUAGAACAACCCCGUCCUAAGAGGUAAAUAUAGGUUCGACUCCUAUCGGGAGCA
rnacentral:tRNA from 1 species